CAGUAUAAAGCCGCAGUCCGUGGUACUUGCUGAAGAGGAUUUCCCUCAGGAACCUAAUGUCUAUUUCUAAAGAAGUGUGGUGGUGUCACAACCAGCUUACAGGCGUUGUAGACAUAACUCUAACUUCCAAGGUGACGCUCUGUACAGCUGCGGGUCUUAACGGAUGUGCGAGAUCGCGCGGGGGCACUGAAGAGACCGCGCUACGUACGUCAUGUAUGUCGCGCUUUCUCUCACUCUCUCCCUCUCCCUCGCACUAUUUGUGAAUACGCGAGUCGCUGGAUGGAUGGAUGGAUGGAUGGAUGGAUGGAAGAGACUUGCUCCAGACUUGCUCCAAAAGAAGACUUGCUCCAGAGUUCAAAACAGAAACGACAGCACUGCGUGGGAAGGUUCGAGAAAAGUCGAUCGUUACUCCAUCGCUGCAUAGAACAAUGCGGCUGAAGCAAGUGAGUGAGUGGGAAAAAAAAAAUACCGGCAGUUCCGGCUUAGCAGUGCGGUGGCUGCCAAGCAUCUGCUGCUCGCAGCGUAUACUCACCAGGAAGAGACCUGCCAGCAAGAACAGGGAGA